rnacentral:rRNA from 1 species
UACGUAGGGCGCAAGCGUUAUCCGGAAUUAUUGGGCGUAAAGAGCUCGUAGGCGGUUUGUCGCGUCUGCCGUGAAAGUCCGGGGCUCAACUCCGGAUCUGCGGUGGGUACGGGCAGACUAGAGUGAUGUAGGGGAGACUGGAAUUCCUGGUGUAGCGGUGAAAUGCGCAGAUAUCAGGAGGAACACCGACGGCGAAGGCAGGUCUCUGGGCAUUAACUGACGCUGAGGAGCGAAAGCAUGGGGAGCGAACAGG